UCCCGCUCCCUUCCCCGGCGGGGUGCGUGACCGGGACUGUCCGGCAGCCCCGCCGCUCCCCCUGCGAUCCGCGGGGCUGCCCCGGGAGCUGCCGGCCUCUCCCUGCCCCUGGCUGGAACACCUCCGGAGGGCACGGGCAGUUCCUCGGGGGGUCGAGGGCGGGCGGCGGAGUCCCUCCAUUCCCCCGUAUCGCUCUCCGUCCGGUCAAGCCGACAGAAUGAGCUGGAAAAAUGAGGUUUGGGGAGACCUACGGAGGGGAUGGACGUGAUCUGUGCGUCGAUGCGAAGCCGAAGGCUGGAUCUAUGCAGCAUUUAACCCCGUGCGCCUCAUCACGUUUCUUUACCGAACUAACUAUCUGGGCAGCCUGCGGUCAGCCCGGUACUGCUCUGUAGUGAAGGACUGAAAAGUCGUCUUUUGGACAUAGGAUAGUUGCUUCUUCUCGGUUAUUUACUCGUCAAAAGAAGAUAUCGAGCUCCGAGGGUCCCGAUUCUGUUCGCAGGGAGGUCACCAGUGUCGGGGCCGGGUGCCGGAGGAGAUCCUGGCACAGAAGCUCGGUCGAAGUUCUUCGUCAAGCGAAGCGGAGAGCCGCUGACAGCCCGCUGCAGAUCUUCUUCCUAGGCUAGUUUGGGCUUCCGGAAAGAUGAGUAGUUAUUAUAAAAUGUUCAGGUUGCUCUGAUGGAAACUUUAAGGUGUAUUUGAAUUAUGUAAAAACAGACACAAUAAUGACAUCACUCCGAAAAGUAAUUUCUGACUGGAAAGCAAUAAAAGCUUGCAGGAUUUGACAGUUAAUUGACAGUUAAUUCCAUCCCGUUCCGCCGAAAGUGAAACGUGUGUGUUUGGGAGAUAUUCAGACUUUGCCAUCACCUUGGGGCAUCGGAGCAGUCCUCCUUCAACCUCCUUUAAUCCGUGGUCCAUAGGUAAC